rnacentral:lncRNA from 1 species
GAGAAUGGCUAGAAUCCUAUAGAAGUAAUGAAGUAUGUGAAUCAUCAGAUCCAGAAAGUAUAAUGUGUCCAGGAUAAAGUAGUAUAUUUCUUUUAAAAAUACAUUAUUUAAUAAUGAUGGAAAAACACUGAAAUAGCUGCUUCUUUAUACCUCUGCAUAGCUCUACAUAUAUAAUGUUGUCCUGUGGUUAGAUGUAUUGUAGGAAUCAGCUCUUUGAAACUGGCACUGUUGUGGCUUAGUAUCAAGUGAGUGCUGAGUAAAUGAAUGAAUGGCAAUGGAUAAAUGUUAUCUAGGACAAAUAGUUUAAACCAAUCCAUAGUGAAGUCAAAUACUUUUCUAACAUAUUCUUUUUUAAUUUUUCAGGUGCACUUGUUUCACAAAAUUCUAAGGGGAUGUCAUAAGAGAAAUGAAAUGAAGAUGGAAACAGUGAUUUCUGCUUGUGAUGGGCUCACUUAGCAAAGAAUAUAGUUUUUGUGCUGGAGAAUGCCAACGCUUUUAAUGGUUUUCGGAUUUCAGCAGUUAAAUCCUUAUACUGUCUUUCUCAGAUCUGAUACUCACAGACACUUAAGUGUAUUUAAGCAUGUACCUGAGUAUCAUUUAUAAUCCUGUUACUAACUAAAGUUAAAGCACUUUAGGAGGGAAUACUAAACAUCUCUGCAGAGAAUGGUAGAAUAGUACAGUCCUUUCUAAAACUGUGCUGAUGGGGAGCCUGUUUCCUAUUCAGCUCAAAUGCCAGGCAGUAUGGCUGCUUCCUCUGUUCCCAUGGAAACCGCAGCCUUGCUGAAGUUCAAGUUAAUUUCUUACUGCCAUCUGCCUGUUGAGCUACAGGGCUUUCUCUAGCUAAUAUCAUGCAGAGGCCUGUUAGGAGAAUGAAGUUUACUUAGGAACUCCCUGGGCUGUUCCAACAGGAGGUCAAGAUUGAAAACAGAUCCAGCUGAACCUCCGUGCAGCGUUCGCUAAAGGAUGAAAGGAGUUAAAAUAUACUGUAUGAGGUUUUAUUUUAAAAUUAACCUAUGUUUAAUACCAAUUGACUAGAUGGGACAUUAAAGAGUUCACUUUACAUUGGACCAAGUUUGUGUCAUGAUUUUUCAUCCCUUUAAACUCUAAAAUUGCCACAUUCCUAUGUGUUUCUUAAAAAUGUUGAUGAUAUCUCAAAUCAAAGGUUACAGACUGGUGACCAGUGAUUCAGCUCUGGCCUGCAGACAUGGUUUUUUGGCC